UGAAUAUGAGGUAGAUGUGUGUAAUAAAGUGAUGUGAGAGUUGAAUAUGAGGUAGAUGUGUGUAAUAAAGUGAUGUGAGAGUUGAAUGUGAGGUAGAUGUUUGUAAUAAAGUGAUGUGAGAGUUGAAUAUGAGGUAGAUGUUUGUAAUAAAGUGAUGUGAGAGUUGAAUAUGAGGUAGAUGUUUGUAAUAAAGUGAUGUGAGAGUUGAAUAUGAGGUAGAUGUGUGUAAUAAAGUGAUCUGAGAGUUGAAUAUGAGGUAGAUGUGUGUAAUAAAGUGAUCUGAGAGUUGAAUAUGAGGUAGAUGUUUGUAAUAAAGUGAUCUGAGAGUUGAAUAUGAGGUAGAUGUUUGUAAUAAAGUGAUCUGAGAGUUGAAUAUGAGGUAGAUGUGUGUAAUAAAGUGAUCUGAGGGUUGAAUAUGAGGUAGAUGUUUGUAAUAAAGUGAUCUGAGGGUUGAAUAUGAGGUAGAUGUGUGUAAUAAAGUGAUCUGAGAGUUGAAUAUGAGGUAGAUGUUUAUAAUAAAGUGAUCUGAGAGUUGAAUGUAAGGUAGAUGUGUGUAAUAAAGUGAUCUGAGAGUUGAAUAUGAGGUAGAUGUUUGUAAUAAAGUGAUCUGAGGGUUGAAUAUGAGGUAGAUGUGUGUAAUAAAGUGAUCUGAGGGUUGAAUAUGAGGUAGAUGUUUGUAAUAAAGUGAUGUGAGAGUUGAAUAUGAGGUAGAUGUUUGUAAUAAAGUGAUCUGAGAGUUGAAUGUGAGGUAGAUGUGUGUAAUAAAGUGAUGUGAGAGUUGAAUAUGAGGUAGAUGUUUGUAAUAAAGUGAUGUGAGAGUUGAAUAUGAGGUAGAUGUUUGUAAUAAAGUGAUCUGAGAGUUGAAUAUGAGGUAGAUGUGUGUAAUAAAGUGAUGUGAGAGUUGAAUAUGAGGUAGAUGUGUGUAAUAAAGUGAUCUGAGAGUUGAAUAUGAGGUAGAUGUGUGUAAUAAAGUGAUCUGAGAGUUGAAUAUGAGGUAGAUGAUUGUAAUAAAGUGAUCUGAGAGUUGAAUGUGAGGUAGAUGUGUGUAAUAAAGUGAUCUGAGAGUUGAAUGUGAGGUAGAUGUGUGUAAUAAAGUGAUCUGAGAGUUGAAUAUGAGGUAGAUGUGUGUAAUAAAGUGAUGUGAGAGUUGAGUAUGAGGUAGAUGUUUGUAAUAAAGUGAUCUGAGAGUUGAAUAUGAGGUAGAUGUUUGUAAUAAAGUGAUCUGAGAGUUGAAUAUGAGGUAGAUGUGUGUAAUAAAGUGAUCUGAGAGUUGAAUGUGAGGUAGAUGUUUGUAAUAAAGUGAUGUGAGAGUUGAAUAUGAGGUAGAUGUUUGUAAUAAAGUGAUCUGAGAGUUGAAUAUGAGGUAGAUGUUUGUAAUAAAGUGAUCUGAGAGUUGAAUAUGAGGUAGAUGUGUGUAAUAAAGUGAUCUGAGAGUUGAAUGUGAGGUAGAUGUUUGUAAUAAAGUGAUGUGAGAGUUGAAUAUGAGGUAGAUGUUUGUAAUAAAGUGAUGUGAGAGUUGAAUAUGAGGUAGAUGUGUGUAAUAAAGUGAUCUGAGAGUUGAAUAUGAGGUAGAUGUGUGUAAUAAAGUGAUCUGAGAGUUGAAUAUGAGGUAGAUGUGUGUAAUAAAGUGAUCUGAGAGUUGAAUAUGAGGUAGAUGUUUGUAAUAAAGUGAUGUGAGAGUUGAAUAUGAGGUAGAUGUUUGUAAUAAAGUGAUGUGAGAGUUGAAUAUGAGGUAGAUGUGUGUAAUAAAGUGAUCUGAGAGUUGAAUAUGAGGUAGAUGUGUGUAAUAAAGUGAUCUGAGAGUUGAAUAUGAGGUAGAUGUGUGUAAUAAAGUGAUCUGAGAGUUGAAUAUAAGGUAGAUGUGUGUAAUAAAGUGAUCUGAGAGUUGAAUGUGAGGUAGAUGUGUGUAAUAAAGUGAU